CUGAGUUGCAUCCCCAGUUCUUUUUAUUUUGAGAUAGGGUUCCACUAAAUUGCCAGACCAAAUUGAAACUUGCAAUCCUGCCUCAGCCUCUCAAGUCACUGGGUUUACAGAUUUCCUGAUUCCUGUUCUCCCCAAGAAUUCCAAUAAAUAUUUGGGGAAGAAUUCUCACUGGCCCAGCUGACAGUCAUUGUUGCUCUCUAAUCAGCCAGACCAGACUCCAUUGUGCACCCCCAUCUGGGGAUAUGAGAGUGGAGUUAGGACCACCAAACCAAAUGGGACAUGGGAAUUACUAAAGCAAACAAGAGCGUGCUAUUUCUAAGAGGUGGAAAGGAGGCUGGGGCCAGGAGAUCACACAAUCUUGAGAGAAGAUGGGACAUUCUGGCACUAUACUUAAGCUUCUCCCCAAAGAGGGGAAGAGGCUUGCCCAAGUUCUCCAGCCAUGUGAGUGAGAACCUAUGCUGGCCACUGCAGCUGUUGCCUCCAGCCUCAGGAAGAAAAAAUUAAGGCAAGAAGUUGUAGGUCUCUGGCACAGAGUGUUGACGCUAGUGCCAGAGAUUUAAAGAUCUGAAGGUUCGGGCUUGUGGGACCUCAAACAAGUCAUUCCCCCUGUUUGUUCUUUAUUGUCACCAUCUGUAAUAGAGAGUCUUAGGUCAAGUACUCUGGAAAGCAGACUUAGAUGGAAAUUUGCAUACAGGAGGUUUACUGGGGAACAAUAUCAGAGGACAGUGAGAAGCAGGGCUAGGCAGAAAUUGGGUUGCAAUGCAGCUGCAGUGGAGGGCUCAGCUGAUCUGACAGGGGAUUCUAGAGCUGGAAUAAUCUGUCAGAGCUGUUUCAAAGGAAGGCAAAGGGUCCAGGCCUUUGUUCAUUCUCCUAUCAACCAGUCAUUGGAAGCAGACUAUCUGGAGGGCAUAACCAUGAGUUAGUUUGCUCCUUUCAACCCAGGACAGUUCCCAGAGAGGGAUUCAGGUCUUUCAGCAGCCAACACCCUCAAUGGAAUGGGGAUGUGGGAAGGAAUGUGUGCCCUAGACUUCGUGACACCCGAGCACCACUACAAAGGAAUGCAGAUGAGCAUUUCUAACUGUUCUGUUUCGUGAAGCCUUCAGGUUCCAAGAAGGUGCUUCAGUGGGGGAAAUCCUCUCUUCUUGAAUGUGUUGUAGUUUCUGCAGAGUCUAACUUAUUUCCUUGAAAGAGGUCUCCACUGCUAGGUCUUAAAUGUCCUCAGAGGCACCUCAUUGCUUUUUUUUUUUUUUGGGGGGGGGUACACAGGGGCACUUACCACUGAGAUAUAUCCCUAGCCCUUUUUAUUUUGAGACAGGGUCUAAGUUGCUAAGGCUGGCCUCAAACAUGUGAUCCUCCUGCCUCAGCCUUCCAAGUUGCUGGGAUGACAGACAUGCAUCACUCUGCCUUGCUCAUGUCUCUUGUGGGGUGCUCAUCACAAUUGUAAUGUAAAUAAUUUGCUGAGUAAUGAUCUAAUAUCUGUCUCUGCCACUUGACAAUAAAUCCCAAAGAAGCAUGAACCCUGUCUGUCUCCCUCACUGUUGUAUCUCUGCUGUAUAUAACAUCUGUUGAAUGAAAGAA